UACGUAGGGGGCAAGCGUUAUCCGGAAUUAUUGGGCGUAAAGAGUACGUAGGUGGCAACCUAAGCGCAGGGUUUAAGGCAAUGGCUCAACCAUUGUUCGCCCUGCGAACUGGGAUGCUUGAGUGCAGGAGAGGAAAGCGGAAUUCCUAGUGUAGCGGUGAAAUGCGUAGAUAUUAGGAGGAACACCAGUGGCGAAGGCGGCCUGCUGGACGGUGACUGACGCUGAGGCUCGAAAGCGUGGGGAGCAAACAGG
rnacentral:rRNA from 1 species